rnacentral:lncRNA from 1 species
AUUAGCCGGGUCAUUUUCUUGUGUGGUGUCAUCAUAAGGGGUAACAUGGGCCUGACAUUUUAACAACAUCUGAAGAAGAGGAUAGAAGACAGGGUUGUAAAAAAGCUUCCAUAUAACAACUGUUCAUAACAGGGGACCAGUAAAGGUCUGAUAUGAGGAAAUGAUUUAGGUGCCUGUAGAAAGAAAAUUAAAUGGAAUAGCAUCCCAUUCAUCCAACUGUGCUUUUGAUAAUGAAACCUAUACUUCUAGAGUUCGAAUUUGAAACCAAAAUUGAAGAAUUAAUGCACAGUAUUUUGCACUUCCUCUGGUCAAUAAUUCCAGUGUCUGCCCAACAAUAUCAUAUUGUUGGACAUCUGUGAUGCUCAGUUACGAAAUUUAAACUAUUCUGGGAGUGGCAGCUAAAAGGCGUUUGAACAACAAAGUGUAUAGCAGAAAAGAACUCAUGGCUGUGACUCAGCCAGUUGAGAAAUCCGAAAUAAAAAUAAAUUAUUCACAAAAUUCCCCCA